AGGCAACUCUGACCCAGCCAUGCCGCGUGCAGGAAGACGGCCCUACGGGUUGUAAACUGCUUUUAAUAGGGAGUAAUGUUAGUUACGUGUAACUAAUUGCAAGUACCUAUAGAAUAAGGAUCGGCUAACUCCGUGCCAGCAGCCGCGGUAAUU
rnacentral:rRNA from 1 species